AGGAUGAACGCUGGCGGCGUGCUUAACACAUGCAAGUCGAACGAUGAUCCCUAGCUUGCUGGGGGGAUUAGUGGCGAACGGGUGAGUAACACGUGAGUAACCUGCCCUUGACUCUGGGAUAAGCCUGGGAAACUGGGUCUAAUACUGGAUACGACCUUCCAUCGCAUGGUGGUUGGUGGAAAGCUUUUGUGGUUUUGGAUGGACUCGCGGCCUAUCAGCUUGUUGGUGGGGUAAUGGCCUACCAAGGCGACGACGGGUAGCCGGCCUGAGAGGGUGGACGGCCACACUGGGACUGAGACACGGCCCAGACUCCUACGGGAGGCAGCAGUGGGGAAUAUUGCACAAUGGGCGCAAGCCUGAUGCAGCGACGCCGCGUGAGGGAUGAAGGCCUUCGGUUGUAAACCUCUUUCAGUAGGAAGAAGCGAAAGUGACGGUACUGCAGAAGAGCGCCGGCUAACUACGUGCCAGCAGCCGC
rnacentral:rRNA from 1 species